AUCUUUGCGCUUGGGGCAAUGACGCAGCUAAUGAGGUUCUAACCGAGGCGCGUCUAUUGCUGGUUGAAAACUAUUUCCAAACCCCCUCUUAGGCCCGGGUUUCACCCGGGCCUUCGAGAAUUUCUGGAAGGGCUAUACCGAAAGGUUAAUAGCC
rnacentral:snRNA from 1 species